rnacentral:rRNA from 1 species
UAUUGGUCAAUGGCCGGAAGGCUGAACCAGCCAUGCCGCGUGAAGGUCAGUGCCCUAUGGGCGUUAAACUUCUUUUGUGCGGGAGCAAUAAGGUCCACGUGUGGGCCGACGAGAGUACCGUACGAAUAAGCAUCGGCUAACUCCGUGCCAGCAGCCGCGGUAAUACGGGGGAUGCAAGCGUUAUCCGGAUUUAUUGGGUUUAAAGGGUGCGUAGGCUGUGAGGUAAGGCAGCGGUGAAAUGCCCCCGCUCAACGGGGUGAAGUGCCAUUGAUACUGCCUUGCUGGAAUGCGGAUGCCGUGGGAGGAAUGUGUGGUGUAGCGGUGAAAUGCAUAGAUAUCGCGCAGAACCCCGAUUGCGAAGGCAGCGUGCCGUGCCGCCACUGACGCUGAGGCACGAAAGCGCGGGGAUCGAACAGG